GGAUCAUGUUUCAAGACAUAACAACACUUCUUCUCGAUCCAAAGGCCUUCAAACACACCUUGGACUUGUUCGUAGAGCGAUACACCGGCAAGAACAUCACUGCGGUUGCAGGUAAACAACCAUGGUAGAUAGAUAGAUAGAUUAGAUGAAAGAAGGAGUAGCGUUGACUGUUGGUUUUGUGUUGGAAUGAUUAAAUAGGUGUGGAGGCAAGAGGAUUUAUCUUUGGGUCUCCGAUUGCAUUGGCAAUCGGGGCCAAGUUCAUCCCACUCCGAAAACCGAACAAAUUACCGGGUCAAGUCAUCUCCGAGAAGUAUGUUUUGGAAUACGGAACGGACUGUCUUGAGAUGCACACCGAAGCCGUUGACUCCACAGACCGUGCUCUGGUGGUCGACGAUCUCAUUGCGACGGGAACUCUUUGUGCGGCCAUCAACUUGCUCGAACGUGUUGGAGCGAAGGUGGUUGAGUGCGCCUGCGUUAUUGAGCUUCCAGAGCUGAAGGUCCGUCUGUUAGUCACUGAGAUUGUUAUGACUAAUGACUUGUUAUAUAUGUAUUUUAACAUAAUAAUAACACAUGCAGGGUCGGGAAAGAUUGAACGGCAAGUCGCUGUUUAUACUGAUGGAGUCUCACUGAAUGUUUGCGCGCGUCUCUCCUUCCUUUCCUUCCAAUUGAUUUGUCUUCUUUAGUGAGAGAACUGGGUUGGGUGUUGAUUGUAUUU
rnacentral:lncRNA from 1 species